CAACACCGUUAAACUAGGAAACUUUCCAUACCGGCUGUUAAAAUUGUCAAUAUCGCUGCCCUUUGAUCAUAAGAUAUAUCAUGUUAAACAAUCAUUAGGUUUCCAAAAUAUUUUAAUAUUCUAAAUUAUAUUUAAUAGUAUGGAUAAUCGAUUUAGAAGCUCUUUCAUUAAAAAUCAAAAAUAACUAAUGAGUACGAAUGCGAUCAUUACUCAUAAAAGUAUAACAACUGGGUAUAUAUAGAACUAGGCUACUAUGCUAUUAAUAGCACCAAGUCAUUGGUGCUCCAAGGUUUUGGCCAUUAGAUUAAGAGAUGUGCGGUUAGGAUGACGUGGGCCCCCUAGGGUUGAGUGGGUGGUUGGUUGAAUAGUAUGAUCUAACGGGUGAAAAUAAUCAAAAGGGUAGAUUUAACGGCGAAAAACUUGGUAGCACCAAGUGCUUCGUGCUAUUAAUUGCAUAGUAGCUGGACUCGGUAUAUAUAUAUAUAUAUAUAUAUAUAUAUAUAUAUAUAUAUAUAUAGAGAGAGAGAGAGAGAGAGAGAGAGAGAGAGAGAGAGAGAGAGAGAGAGAGAGAGAGAGAGAGGUUUUGGCCUCUACGCAGACAUUACUUAUUGGAGAUGGUAUAAUAGCUCUACUCAUCGAGAGAGAGAGAGAGAGAGAGAGAGAGAGAGAGAGAGAGAGAGAGAGAGAGAGAGNUUUUUUCGACAUAGUUACUUUAUGAUCAAACCAUUUCAAACUUGUUAAUUUUCAAUGGCUAUUAUGACGAGUUUGUAGUUUAAUGGUGUAGAAGAAUCUAAAUUUAUUCAAAUUUUGAUAGAAAAUACUUUAAACGAUCUAGAUCAAGGUCAUAAUCCUUGAUCUUGAAUUCAAAAGUUCUAUCCUCAAAUUUGAAAGAAUUUUCAAUUUCUAUUCUUCAUUUUGACAUGAUCUAUUUACUAAAUAAACGAUGUUUAAAAAAAUUAAAAUUUUAUUCCUAAGAACUUCAUAUACCCUAAAUUAUCUUUGACUGUGUGGAUCAUUGAUUUGAACACCCGAAGAUCGAGAACGGGACUUUAGUACCGGAGCUCCGGUACUAUUGAUAGUAUAGUAGCCUCAUUAUAUAUAUAUA
rnacentral:lncRNA from 1 species